UAGCCAUGAUGUGGACAGGUAUUCGUGAAAUCUUUGAACCUUUCUCAGCAUUGAAAGAAUGUCUCUUCCUCUUUUUGGGCAAAGUUCGUGAUUGUCUUCCUGAAAGU